UGGGCUGAUACUCUGUCACUUUCAAUAUUCUAUCUGUUGUUCACCAUUUUUCACUGACUUAAGCAUAGAUGGAUCUCUAUCAGAUAUAAUUUCGAUCAGUGUGGACUUCAUUUUGAAGGUGUUCUUCUCUGAUGAUGGGUACAACAGGGGAUUGGCCGCAACAUAUGUAAAAGUUGCAUUUAAUGUUGCUAAAUGUAUAUGGCAAGGCUAUUUGUUAAAUGAUGAUAGAUCCCAUUUCCAACCUCUUAAUCUUUCUUGUUGAUAUAAAGAUUUGAUUUUGAUGAUACAAUACACUUAAGUACAAAGAUACUAAUUGUAUGUUAGCUAGG
rnacentral:lncRNA from 1 species